rnacentral:rRNA from 1 species
AACGAACGCUGGCGGCAUGCCUAACACAUGCAAGUCGAACGAGACCUUCGGGUCUAGUGGCGCACGGGUGCGUAACGCGUGGGAACCUGCCCUUAGGUUCGGAAUAACUCCCCGAAAGGGGUGCUAAUACCGGAUAAUGUCUUCGGACCAAAGAUUUAUCGCCUUUGGAUGGGCCCGCGUUGGAUUAGCUAGUUGGUAGGGUAAAAGCCUACCAAGGCGACGAUCCAUAGCUGGUCUGAGAGGAUGAUCAGCCACACUGGGACUGAGACACGGCCCAGACUCCUACGGGAGGAAGCAGUGGGGAAUAGUGGAAAAUGGGCGAAAGCCUGAUCCAGCAAUGCCGCGUGAGUGAUGAAGGCCUUAGGGUUGUAAAGCUCUUUUAACCGGGAUGAUAAUGACAGUACCGGGAGAAUAAGCUCCGGCUAACUACGUG